rnacentral:rRNA from 1 species
UGUGGACCUCGAUGUUGGAUUCGGAUACUAUUUUAGUGAAGAUACUAAAAUUAGAAGUUUGUUCAACUUUUAAAUUCCUACAUGAUCUGAGUUUAGACCGAUGAGAAUCAGGUUGGAUUCUAUCUUAAUAAUAAAUAAAAUUUAAAUUAGUACGAAAGGAAUAUUUAGAUGUAAUUAUUAGGAUAAACAACUUUAUUUGCAUCAAUUUUUGUAAUU